rnacentral:lncRNA from 1 species
GUGGGAGUCACGGGCGCUGCGCUUGGGGUCGGUGGCGGAGAAGACGGUGUAGACGAGGACGAAGGUGCCGAUGAUCUCGGCGGCGAGUCCCGUCCCCUUGGAGUAGCCGGAGCUGAGCUCGUUGGCGCCGCCGCCGUAGCGCACGUAGUAGGCCUUCUGGAAGCCCCUGACAAGCCCCGCGCCGCAGAUGGCUCCCAGGCACUGCGCGAUCAUGUAGAGAAGGGCUCGGAUCAGGGAGACCUUGCGAGCCAGGAACAGCCCGAACGUCACCGCCGGGUUUAUGUGACCGCCUGCAUGCACGCACACAAGAACGCACCCCACCGUUAUAAGCAACAGGAUGCAACCAUAUGCGAGGAUUAUGGGCUACAUAUAUAUAUAUGUAAGAUUAAGCGCGAACGGAGAAAAGAUCUUAUUUUCUUCCAUUAAUUCCGUUUCAUUUGUAAACUAAAGAAUGCUUAAAAAAGUUUCGAAGAAGAGAUAUUAAUUGCGCCUGCGAGGGUGGGAGGGACACCCACCGGAGAUGCCGGCGGUGCAGUAGACGAGGAUGAAGAUCAUCCCGCCGAAAGCCCAGGCUAUGCCCAGGAUCCCGACGCCGCUGCAGGCGGCGUCGGUGCCGUUCACGUUGGGGUCGGACUGGUGCUUGUACCCGAUCACCGUCGCCACGGUGAUGUAGAGGAACAGCAGCGUCGCGAUGAACUCAGCGAUCACCGCCCGGUACAGCGACCACGUGGUCAGCUCCUCCACGUCGAUCAGCGGCGCCGGCGGCGGGUCCAUGUAGUCCUUCGCGGUGAACUCACCCGCCUCCGCCGCGGCCUCCACGUCCUUCCCCAUCGACCGCUGAUUAAAAUUCAGCUCCUCUCAGUACUUUAGAGAAGAAAAUAAAUUAAGCCCCAAGAGAGAGAGAGAGAGAGAGAGAGAGAGCGUGCUGGUGGUCUUAGAGAGAAAUCGGGCCUCGGUGUGGAGUGAGGAGAGGCUGAGGGUGGUCUUUUUAUAUCACCACGGCGGUGAGCGGAGACAAAGGGGAGUGCGGAAGUGCGGUUUUUAUUUGAUUUAUUUUAUCUUUCUUUUGCUUGUUUUUAAAGUUUCAAAUUGCCGCCCUAAACCGAACGCUGCCUCAGCAUGAGAUCAGCUCCCACUCCGCAGCCCCACCACGCGCUGCUUCGCUGUCUGUCCCCGCAUGGAGGCUACACUCCGGUGAUCCAUGAAUUGACGGUGGUGAUCGUCCACUGGGUUCCAUUGGGUCCUUUCAUGAGUUUAGCGGGCGAUUCGAUUACUAUUCUCUGGGUGGUAACACCAGCGGCGGUGAUGCACGCGGGGCUGAUGCAAUCAAUGGCAUUGAUGCAUUGGAAUUUGAAUGCAGAGUGGAGGACAACGUAGUUCGUAUGAUUAAUUUGAUAAACUGAUGGACCCGUGGGAUUGAUUCCCUGCCCAGAUCUUAGCUAUUAUCUUGGUCAUUAUUUGUUGUUAGAGCUGAUCAUAGGCUGGAUUUAGAACUAAAUUCUAUUCAUUUCUAGUCGGACAUCGGGUCGGCUUAUGUAAAAUUUGAUAUUUUUUGUGUCCGAACUCGAUCCAUGAUCAACUUUAUUAGUUAUCUAUUUAAAUUAUGAGAGCAGUUGGGUCCCUGAUGCUACGACAAAGCGCUCAUCGGUGCCCUAACCCUAAUCUACAAGCCACAAAUAAGUAUUAUAUGCUAUGCUUUGGAUCAAACCUUAUAACCUUAUCAGCUACAUGAAAGAAGCCAAAAGGAGCGUGACUGUACAGCUGAUGCCAUAAAUAGGUCACGUUCAGACUUCAGCAUCCCUCUUAACAAGUUCGCUGGGUAUACAGGCCACAAGGGAAUGCCAAAAGUAACUUAAAUAUUUAAGAGGCAUGUGGAAUAGAAUGGUGCCAAGUCAGAACGAGUAAUGGGUACCAACACAAAUUUUGCGUGUGGCCUCACUGUUAUCAUGAGCAGCCAGCCCUUUUCUUUUUCUUUCGUUUUUUUUGAUGUAAAGGGAUGCAGAAAAAAUGCCACCUGACCUUCGUUUCAGAUCAACGAGGAAAAAUUACAACCGGGGGUUCCAUGAUUCAAUCCACGGUGACCGAGGACACAACAGGAAUGAUGACUGUGACCAUAGAAUAUGUUAUACGGCGCUCUCAAAGGGAGGUAUACGAUCAGCGGUACAAUUGAGCUGCUACAGGGAACAAAGACUCAGGAUUCGAACAGCAAAAUGAAGAGGUCUGAAGGGAGUCGAGGAGCUGAGUUUAGACAUCAAGAUGGAAAAGUUGCUUCUUGUGGUGCUAAAUUUUAGAUGCUGAAUGGAAUAGCAGAACUUCAGAACAGAAAGGAUGAGAUGGCCAAAGUAUCAGGGAUCCAUCUGAAAGAUACCAAGAAACUGUACUUCAGUAGCCGAACAACAAGUAAACUAAGCAUCCAAGGCUGGCUCUUCUAGUUAAUGGUCUCGCUGUCACAGCUGCCUUUAUACGUGGUUGGGCAAUAUCUUUUUUUCCAGAGUAUCCUUAAGUUUUGAUUCAAGCAAUGGAAAGCUUGGACGCAAUCUGUAAAUUUUUCAUGCAAAGGCAUGCAGAAACUAUGCAUCUUACAAGAUUGAGGGGACGGUCUUCACUUUGUUCCAGACUUUUUUUCAAUUUCCGGAAGAAGCUUGUGAUCACACAAGAUGGUCCAAUUAAUCAUUGAAAGGGUCGAGCCCUCUCGGUACUAUAGAAGCAUGCUUGCUGAAGUCAUGCACUUUCUUGCUCGAUAAGGUAUCUUUGGGUUUGUCAUUUCAUCGUACGUUCCAUAUAUAUUGGUUCAUGAUGCUUCACAACAACAAAUAUUAAUUACUUACAAUUAUUGUCACAGCAGUAGGAACGCUAUAUAUAAAUGAUGAUUUUGCCGGCAGUAAUGCGAAUUUCAAAGUUUUGUUAUUAUUUUUUUAUUACUUUGCACGUAGUAGCCGUUGCCUUGGAAGAUUAUUAUUUUUAUUAUUAGUAUUAUUAUUAUUAUUAGUAUUAUUAUUAUUAUUAUUAUUAUUAUUUGUGAUAAAGACAACAUUCAUAUACCUCUUACAUGAAUAAAGCCAGCCAGAUCCGAAAUAAUAAAUAAUACAAGGAAGAAGGAAUCUCAGUGGCACUCGUCCACGAGAACUCUUCCAUGUGCCGAGCAAUGUAGGAGGCGACCCAGUCCGCAGCUCUGUUCGUCUUUCGAUACACGUGCGUAGUCUGGAAAGAAGCCAAACCCCUAAUCAGUCUGCGAGUCUCACUGAUCUGUGGGUGACCGUCUCCGUAUCGAUCAACUCCCCAUAUCCAAGCGAUCACCGUCGAGGAGUCCCCCUCCAGAUAUAUCUUGUCUGCAUCAAGUACCCUUCUCGCAUAGGAAAUGUCCUCCCAGACUGUCUGUCCGCCUCAAUAAUAGUCGAACCGGGGGUGCGCCGACCUCGGGCCACUACCAGUGUGCCCUGGUGGUCUUGGAUCACAAAUCCUACUUUUCCAUAUGCUCCAUCUGUCGACAUGUCGUCAUCAAAGUUAACUUUGAGAUAACCAAGAGGUGGGGGCACCCAAGAAAAUGAGGCAAACCUGGGUACUAAAAUAGCGGAACGGGUGUCCCAGAUGUUCCUUACUAUCCCAAAAGAACUCAACGCAGCUGCCACAGUGAUCUCAGUAGCAUGGCGAAAGUCUCUGUCCACCACUGUCCUCGAAAAGGCGGGUAUUUCUAUCCAACCAAAUGUGAUAAGCUAGGUAUGCCCCCUAUACUAUCCUCAAUUAUACCCGGUCUCCUCAUGGUCUCCCUCAAAUAGUGUAGUAGGUCCUUAGCUGACUCCAGUGUGAGGAAAGGGGCCAAAAGCAAGGUCCCAAAUCUGUCCUGCCCUGGGGCAACUAAGUAUGGCAUGGGUAAUGGUCUCCUCAUAGUCCGGGCAAGUCACACAAAACGAAGAGAUCCGAACACCCCGCCCUGCUAACAUCUUUCUGGUCGGUAGGUAGCCCCAAGCCACCUUCCAUAUGAACAGGGCCAUCCGAGGGUGGAUCUGCAUCCUCCAAAUCCAACUUCCAUCAAUCUGCCAGGCUGGCUCCCUCCUGAACCACGCAUGAAAAUCCUUAGCAAUGAUUUUGUCCAAUAAUUAUCAGCAGUGUUUAGAAAUCAAAGCACAAGUUGUGUUUUUUUUUUUACUGAAACGGAUGUAUUAUACAUGUUGGAUACAAAUACAUCCAAAAAAAAAUUAAAAGAUAAUAAGUCCGGGAGAGCACCGGAUAAUUUCCUCUCCCCAGCUUAAGGAUCUCUCCAAAAUGAUUAGCCACAAAAAAAAGUUAUUCAAUCUACUGUUUCAUUGACGUCAUGGUAUGUAUGCUUUGUCUGAAAAAUUAUUUUUUAUUUUUAUUUUUUUUGCUAAAGAAAAUGUAUCACGGUGAGUGCAAAUAUAUUUAAAAAAAGCUAAAAUAAUAAUGCACCGGCUAAUAUUCUCUCCUCCAGCUUGGCUGGUUCUCCCGAUGAUGGUUGGCCUACUUCUACCACUCGAUGGCUUCAAAAUGUGGCAGCUUGAACACAGCUAGAAGCUGCCACGUGGAUGAACAUAGGCCACAAGAAUUAAAUAUAUACAAGAGGGAGAGGCAAGAACGGAAGGCCCUGGAAUGCGCGGGGCCCACCGGAGGGGUUUGCAUUAGGUCCGAAAUUGAAAAAUUGAUGUCAAAAAUCCAAAAAGAAAAGGAUAAAUCUUACAAACAUGAACAUGUGCACAACUGGCUGCAAAAUAUCAUUCUUUACUAGGGAGUGGAAACUUGUUCCUGGUUGCUUAUUCAUUGCAAGGAUUUCAGCUAUUGCUGGACUAAGGAAAUAUUCUUCAAUAGUAAGGAAAAUUUUUAAGAAAUCUUAAAUUAAAAACAUGCCAAUUAUAAAAUACGGACUCCAACUUAGCCAUUUCUCCUUAUAUAAUAUAUAUAUAUAUAUAUAUAUAUAUAUAUAUAUAUAUAUAUAUAUAUAUAUAUAUAUAUAUAUAUAUAUAUAUAUAUAUAUAUAUAUAUAGUUACGAGAUUUCAGCAAGUUAGUUCAAAUGUCUCACUCGAAAGAAGUGCCUGUACCAUCAAGAUGGUAGCACAGUUGGAGUGAAAUUUUGUUUUCACCGAAGUCGCCUAGAUUCGAACGUACGGACAUUGAUUUAAUGUAGAGACCGGAUGCCUCUCGUUUGAUUUAUCUGGUGGAGCCGCUAUAUGGUCUGCCGGUUGCUUAGGUGGUACUGGUGUGACCGUACUCACACGUCGGACUUUUCACGGAUGAGGAAGGUAUGAGUAAAACUUGUCUGUCUGUAUCGAACAUUCUUCAGUAGGAAGGGGACUCAGUAGAAGUUGCUACGCGGGUAAGGUUCUCCUCACCCCCUCUUCACUUUUUUUUUAGCAACAAAAAAAAAAAAGUGCCUAUGAGCUAAGCUGCUGGUAGUUUGCUAAGUUAGUUGUAACUGCAUAAUCAUGAUAUUAUCCUAUGUUUUUAAAAUUUUUACAGUAAAGGUCAUGCGUUUGAUGCAAGACCGAUCCACUGUACAUGCCAUGCCCCGUAAAGUCACCAACCCUUGAUUGGUUAGAACCUCUCAAAUAGAUCAUGAGGGAUAAUGGGAGAUAAAAUGGAUCGUCCUACCCGAUAUGGAACCACCCAACCCCGUCGAGCGAGCCGACCAUGGCUAGAGAGCGGGCCGACCUCGGACUCUCCGAAGGCUGGGCCGACCUCGAUCAAAAGCCAGGCCGACCUCGGUCCGCCGGAGGCCCGAGCCGACCUCCACUAGAGGCCCAAGCCAACCUCGCGAAGCAUAUGUCGCAGGUAUCAUCUGCAGCAGCCUCACUGCACCAUACUUUUCUUAUUGGCCACGCUAUGAUGCAUCAACUAGGACUAUACCCUGCUACAUCUGUUGGGGGCCAUAUCCUUCCUGCCAGGGAUAUACCUCCACUACUGGGGCACUCUGGUAAGAAAAAUAAAAGAGGCCAUGAAAAUAUACUCUAGAGGAUUUUGGACUCUCUAUACUCCUCCCCGUAGAGGAAACAAGGGACUUUGGCUCUCAAAAUAGGACCCUCCAUAAACUCUGCUAACUUAGCCAACAGAGGGCCUUCGCCGGAGAUUCCGGCGAAGGCUUUGUGCAGGUAUCCCGGAUGGCAGGGAGGUGGCACCCUUUCUCCUCCAGUCCGGCAUCCUCUCGGAGGCACCCUAAAGCAUUGGAGGUAGCCUUCUUUUCGACUCCCUUCCGGCGUGGUCGCCCCCAGGCCGAAUUUUAACGAAAACAAGGGAUACAUUAAUGGACUCUUCAAUUAUAUCAGGUACCGGAAAGGAUGCAGAUUGGAUGAUCAGCUAAUGAGCAAACUACUGAACCGUGCACUGGCCGCAUUUUAUUUUUCUUGGCCGAAAGAGGACAUUGCUGAGCGAUUUAAAAAUAUUUCAUAAAAACUAAAUUCUGUCAAGGUCCUAAUCGAGAAGUGCCGCAUCAGCCUGCAUCAUGGAAUCCAUGAGUUUUUAAAAUCGUUCCUGCCAUUAUUCGUCCAGUCAUUGAUGUAAACAGGUUAGCUUGCCAUACCGAUGACAUAACAACAAAACCUAGCUAAGCUGGCCCUUUUUCCGGUAGCAAAGAAGUAUUAUUUACAUAGAAAGCAGGCCCUAUGUGUUCCUACACCUUGAGGAUAAGAUAGAGGUUUUCUCGAGCAAUGGAAGCUGCCGUAGGAACAGCCUGGCAUCUAGUAUUCUAAUUCAGAAUCUGCAUUGUCGGGAUCUUUUUCCUGACAAAAAAUUUAUCUAUGGAUCUUUUCCAUGAUAAACAGGUAAGUAAGAGUAUAAACAGAUAAGCAAGAUUAGUGAAGAGAGCGAUUUCAGUUCUCAUCACAGACCUUUAUCUUAAAACAGAGCGCAAGUAAAAAAAUAAACUCCGCCGCCGAUAUGUUAGCGGGUAUCAGGUCGGAUUCUAAAUAGAUCAGGUCCAGACCUGACGUCCCCCAUUAAUGAUGCCCCUGUGAGAUUUGCAUGGCCACAAGCUUCUCAGAACCAACUCAACCAAAAGCACAUAAUUUUCAGAAUCUACAAAACGGUUUGCCAAAGAUACAUGCAUGGAAGGGUGCUCUCAAAUAACAAGGAAGCCCGUAAUUUAUUACAUUUUAUGAAGACCAGGAGCACAUACAUAGAUACUUAACAAACGCUGGGGCAAUGGUAAAAAUAUGCCUACUUGUUGAUUUGCAUUAUUGACAAGCGAAAGACUGAAAUGGUGCCGACCCAUCAAAAUUCUGCUCUUCUUUUUUCCUUCAAUGACCACCAAAGCUGGAGAAGAACAGAAUUCAGGAUGAAGCGUUGCUUCUAAAAGACCCGAGAGCCUUGACAGCGCCAGCUCUAAGGACAAACUGAUGAUAAGCUGUGGCUAUGGCGGCACCAAUGAAAGGACCCACCCAGAAGAUCCACUGCAAUGCGCGCACACGAAAAAAAAAAGUCUGAUAAGUUUCAGCUGCUUCUCCGAGCAGUUGGCUGCUAAUUGUACUGGAAAUAAACGACCAGGCCAAGUAAAUUGAUUGGCUUGUCGAUUGAAUGAUGGCACUACUCUUUAUGUACAUUUGGCAACCUCCAAUUGUCUGUUCAUCUAUAGGGUUCGGAUAUUGCUUUCAACGACUGCAAUUCGUCAGCUAGAAAGCAUCGUUUGAUUUCUAGAGAAAAGGUGUGGAAUGGCAAAUGAAAUAGAAAUGAAGCUCAGAAUGGCUGCCUAAAGGUAGGAAAAGAUGAUACAUUAAAGAUUAUGCAGGCAAUGCCCUCGUAGCAAAUGUACCUGGUCAUCCCAUGCCUUCUCCUUAUCAUAGAUUACGGCAGCUCCGAAACUCCUUGCAGGGUUAAUGCCGGUCCCCGUGAUCGGGAUUGUGGCUAGAUGGACCAUGAACACCGCAAAACCUAUUGGAAGUGGAGCCAAAACCUGGAUAGAUAUUGGAAACCAACAGAGAUUAAAAAAGACACCCAAAAAUAUUGUUGUCGUAUAAGCCAAGAACAAUUCAUAUAUAACAAUUUAAUUUGUCAAAGUGAAGGAUCGUUGUAAAGAUAACUGCAGCAGCAUUCAACUGAAAAUUAACCUUCUACCAAUAUGACCGGCGAAUCUUCUAAAAUACUUCAUGUUCGGGGCAGCACAGGCUCUGCCAUCACCACCUCAUUCGUGUUGCGACAGACGAUCGAGCGAAUGAAAAACUGUUGAAAUAAUUCUCCGUGAUUAAUUUCUCUCGCUGCAUCCAUUCUUUGGCUAGUUAUGUAGCAAGACGUAUUCAAUACAGUGAGGAAAUACCUCACCAAAUACUAACUCCUCGAGGCUUGAACUGAGCAAUUAAAACACGAAGACCAAAUCUAAGCACCCGUCGAGUAUGGGCCGAAUAUAAAUUUUUUAACCUAACUCACGGAUUACAUCCCCCGACAGGACAAAGGCAAAGCUAUAUACCUAUCGCACGAGUCUAGAUAUUUCUAGUUAGACGCAUCCACAUUCAUGGCUGCGCAGCAUCACGAUUGGGGCCCAUCCCUUCAUGAUCUCACUCAUUUAUGAACGACACGGAUUGCUAGCAUGAAAAUUUAUUCUACGAGCAUGAUACCAAUUGAAAAGGUACAACUAGGUUAAGGUUAGGAAUUUUUCGAUCCUUCCCUCAGCGUAUCAAGUUAAGGUCCUACUUGGGGUGGGGGGAAGGGGAUAUGGAUCCUGCGAAAUUGAACCAAAUCUUACUGAACUUGGAGACAGACCCUAGUGUUGUGGGCCUAAAUCUUAGACUUGAAAUUCUGGCCAUGACGCACUCGGGACCAGCUAGACCAGACCCAACUUGGACCCACUUGUUGGCUAAACUGAAAUUACAGUCGAUUGUUUUGGAUGCCUUAACCCGUCUCUCAAAAUAACGGUGAUGGUUUACUUCUUUACAAACAGCACAUGUAUGAACAAACUAGCAUACUACGUCACGUCGUCUUAUUUGUAGUCCGGCAUUUUGAAGAAUUUAUCUGGAUGGCAGUGACAGUUUUACCGUCUUUCUUUUAUCUUUUACUUUUAUUUGACUUGGCAGGAUGUGCUUAUGCUAAAGUUAUAUAAAAUACCAUUUUUACACGAUAUAUAUAUAACAAUGAUGGUAAUUGGCAAGUAAUAAAACAAAAAAAUAAAAUUUUUGCCGCAAAUGGAGGGGUAGAAUUAUAUUACCGGGACGUGGGAGUCACGGGCGCUGCGCUUGGGGUCGGUGGCGGAGAAGACGGUGUAGACGAGGACGAAGGUGCCGAUGAUCUCGGCGGCGAGUCCCGUCCCCUUGGAGUAGCCGGAGCUGAGCUCGUUGGCGCCGCCGCCGUAGCGCACGUAGUAGGCCUUCUGGAAGCCCUUGACGAGCCCCGCGCCGCAGAUGGCUCCCAGGCACUGCGCGAUCAUGUAGAGAAGGGCUCGGAUCAGGGAGACCUUGCGAGCCAGGAACAGCCCGAACGUCACCGCCGGGUUUAUGUGACCGCCUGCAUGCGCGCACACAAGAACGCACCCCACCGUUAUAAGCAACAGGAUGCAACCAUAUGCGAGGAUUAUGGGCUACAUAUA